GAUGAACGCUGGCGGCGUGCCUAACACAUGCAAGUCGAGCGAAGCGGGGACGGGUGAGUAACACGUGGAUAACCUCAUAUAAGAAUGGGAUAAUUCCGGGAAACCGGAGCUAAACCGGCAGCUUAUAGAUGGAUCCAGGCUGCAUGAGCUAGUUGGUACGGUAACGGCUUACAAAGGCAACGAUGCAUGGCCGACCUGAUAGGUGGAUCGGCCACACUGGAACUGAGAAACGGUCCAGACUCCUACGGGAGUCAGCAGUAGGGAAUCUGCCGCAAUGGGCGAAAGCAUGACGGGGCAACGCCGCGUGAGUGAUGAAGGUCUUCGGAUCGUAAAACUCUGGUAUUAGGGAAGCGGUACCUAAACAGAAAGCCACGGCUAACUACGUGCCAGCAGCCGCGGUAAUUC
rnacentral:rRNA from 1 species